ACAUGAAACCAAGCAUAAAGGAGAGUCUGACAGUGCAUCAUUUAACCCCAGGAAGUUGCCAUCUUUCAGGCUGUAAUCAGCAGUGAACAUGCUCUUUUAUGAUCAGUCUAAGAUGGAUUAAUGUAAGGAAGAAGACAUUCUCGGAUGUUCUGGCUCUAGUAAUAGAGACAUAAAUAGGAUAAGAAAUAUCCCAAAGGAGUCGAAUGUCUACUUACAUUGACUUGGAUAGGAAAUGCCUGAAGGAGGAGUCCAAAAAUGGCCACUAGGCCAGACUGAAAUGUCAAGGUGUUUGCCAUCAAUCUCAGAGCUUUUGGGUGCAUACUCUGCAUCUUAAUUAGAUAUUACAUAAGCUAAAUAAAUAUAUUUCUAUUUGUCA